CAGUCGCCGCGGUAAAACGAAGGGUGCAAGCGUUACUCGGAAUUACUGGGCGUAAAGCGUGCGUAGGUGGUGGUUUAAGUCCGUUGUGAAAGCCCUGGGCUCAACCUGGGAAUUGCAGUGGAUACUGGGUCACUAGAGUGUGGUAGAGGAUAGUGGAAUUUCCGGUGUAGCAGUGAAAUGCGUAGAGAUCGGAAGGAACAUCUGUGGCGAAGGCGACUAUCUGGGCCAACACUGACACUGAGGCACGAAAGCGUGGGGAGCAAACAGGAUUAGAUACCCGUGUAGUCCCUGUCUCUUAUAC
rnacentral:rRNA from 1 species